AUUGAACGCUGGCGGCAGGCCUAACACAUGCAAGUCGAGCGGAUGAAGGGAGCUUGCUCCUGGAUUCAGCGGCGGACGGGUGAGUAAUGCCUAGGAAUCUGCCUGGUAGUGGGGGAUAACGUCCGGAAACGGGCGCUAAUACCGCAUACGUCCUGAGGGAGAAAGUGGGUAUCUUCGGACCUCACGCUAUCAGAUGAGCCUAGGUCGGAUUAGCUAGUUGGUGGGGUAAAGGCCUACCAAGGCGACGAUCCGUAACUGGUCUGAGAGGAUGAUCAGUCACACUAGAACUGAGACACGGUCCAGACUCCUACGGGAGGCAGCAGUGGGGAAUAUUGGACAAUGGGCGAAAGCCUGAUCCAGCCAUGCCGCGUGUGUGAAGAAGGUCUUCGGAUUGUAAAGCACUUUAAGUUGGGAGGAAGGGCAGUAAGUUAAUACCUUGCUGUUUUGACGUUACCAACAGAAUAAGCACCGGCUAACUUCGUG
rnacentral:rRNA from 1 species